ACACUAGCAAAACAUUUGAAAUAUAGAUCUACCAGAAGAAGAAGAAAGAGAAAUGGUUCAAAACUACUUAUGUUAAUAUAUUUUUAAGACUAAAUGCCAGAUAUCUAAUGUAAAAAGUUCAACACAGGUCCAGGUAUACUUCUGCUUGUGCCUGACCUUUCCAUCAUAACUUUUGUCUACGAUCUGCCGGUCUUUUCACACACGGGCCUAAAGCUGACACUGGCCACCUACCGGUUGAUACAACAUGAUUUCCAUCUCUCAGCCAGUGGGAUACAACCAUCCGGUAAUCUACCCACAGCCAAUGUGUUACCAACCACUUCCGGCGUACACACCGCGAGCUUCUCAAACGUCAGGUAACAUUAUGCAUGCAGUGCUUUGGUUUCUGGCACUUAUCUUCUUUGCCUGGCCUCUGGCUUUUACCGUCUGCGCUUUGUACGUCUUAGUGAGUCCUUUUGGCCCUUGCUGUAAGUGUGUGAGCAUCAUUACAGACGCCCUGCUCAUUGCCGUCAGAUUGCCUCUCACUUGUAGUGAAAACAUGCUUCGCAAGACUCCAUUCUGUUAACACUCCUGGCCGUACACACCUGGUGAAUCAGUGAUUACAGAACGAGAAGUACCAACGAGUGACAUAACAUUGAAACUGGGCAAGAGAAACAUCACCCGAGAUAAAAAAAAGAAUUAAAAGAAUCAGAACACAAAAAAAAAUUCAUUUUUUAAUAAUGAAUAGGUAUUUC